GAUGAACGCUAGCGGCAGGCUUAAUACAUGCAAGUCGAACGGUAACAGGUCUUCGGACGCUGACGAGUGGCGCACGGGUGAGGAACACGUACACAAUCUACCUUAUACUGGAGAAUAGCCCCGGGAAACUGGGAUUAAUACUCCAUAGUCUUUAAUGAUCACAUGAGAAAUAAAGUAAAGCUUCGGCGGUAUAAGAUGAGUGUGCGUCCCAUUAGAUUGUUGGUGAGGUAACGGCUCACCAAGUCGACGAUGGGUAGCUGGCGUGAGAGCGCGACCAGCCACACUGGCACUGAGACACGGGCCAGACUCCUACGGGAGGCAGCAGUAGGGAAUAUUGGUCAAUGGGCGAAAGCCUGAUCCAGCCAUGCCGCGUGUGUGAUGAAGGCCUUAGGGUUGUAAAGCACUUUCGUACGGGAGU
rnacentral:rRNA from 1 species